UACGUAGGCAGCAAGCGUUGUUCGGAAUUACUGGGCGUAAAGAGUGUGUAGGCGGUGCUCUAAGUUCGGUGUGAAAUCUCCUGGCUCAACUGGGAGGGUGCGCCGGAAACUGGAGUGCUGGAGCGCGGGAGAGGAAAGCGGAAUUCCUGGUGUAGCGGUGAAAUGCGUAGAUAUCAGGAGGAACACCGGCGGUGUAGACGGCUUUCUGGACCGUAGCUGACGCUGAGACACGAAAGCGUGGGUAGCAAACAGG
rnacentral:rRNA from 1 species